CUCCUAUUGAAAUAAAACAAAAAGAAAAGAAAAAAAUAAUUAAUUAAUUACAAUCAUAGUUCUAAAUCUUUCAAAACAUUACAGAUAAAUCCUAAAUUCUCCACUACCGCCACUUUCACAACCCCACCAAGCCACCACCUAUAGAUCCAUAUAGCACCACUUUUCGACCACAACACAUAGGACUCCACCACCACCAGCGUCGCCUCACUCUCCCCAAUAUCCUCCUCCAUAGUAUUGGUCACAAAUCUGUUCAAAACAACCACAUUUACGUUGAUAGAGUCCGGUGGGCAUGGUGGUCGAAAGGUGGUAUUAUGUGAAUUUAUAGUUGGCAGUUUGAUAGGUUGUGAAAAUGGUGGUGGUUAAGAAUUUAUGAUUUUUUUAUAAUUUUUUAAAAAUUUAAGGACUAUGGUUACAGUUGGUAAUUCAUCUUUUAUUUUUGUUUUAUUUUAAUAGGAGAGUAAAAUCGUCAUUUUAUUGAAAAAUGGAUGAAAAUGACCUUUUGCGUAAUGAAUGGUGAAAUGUAGGGGUAAAAAUGCUAAAAAUGAAAUGUAGGGAUGUUUUGCACAAUAAUAUUGAAAGGUAAGGACCUUUUCUGCUAAUUAUGCUAAAAAAUAAAAGGUAGGGACGUUUUGCACAAUAACUUUGAAAGGUGGGGACCUUUUAUGCUAAUUACCUUUUUGAUUUAACGGAGCAUUUUAACGGAAAGUUGACAGAAGGACGUUUUGCGCAAAAAAAUGUAAAGGUAAGGGUGUAAUCCACCAAAAAAUGAAAGGUAUGUACGUUUUUCACAAAAACAUCGAAAGGUAGGGAUGUUUUAUGCUAAUUACCCUAGAUAAAACGUUAUCUUUAACUCUAAUUAUGAUAAAAAAUUUUAGAGAAAAUAUUUUAUGAAAAAUAAUUUUAUGAGGAUUAUGUAGUCAAAAAAUAUGAAAAAUUUAUAGCUAGUGCUCAAAAAAAAAAAAAAAAAAAAAAAAA
rnacentral:lncRNA from 1 species